GCCAGACUCCUACGGGAGGCAGCAGUGGGGGAUAUUGCACAAUGGGGGGAACCCUGAUGCAGCGACGCCGCGUGGGUGAAGGAGUAUUUCGGUAUGUAAAGCCCUAUCGGCAGGGAAGAAGCAAGACGGUACCUGACUAAGAAGCCCCGGCUAACUACGUGCCAGCAGCCGCGGUAAUACGUAGGGGGCAAGCGUUAUCCGGAUUUACUGGGUGUAAAGGGAGCGUAGGCGGUUUAGCAAGUCAGAAGUGAAAGCCCGGGGCUCAACUCCGGGACUGCUUUUGAAACUGUUGAACUAGAUUGCAGGAGGGGUAAGUGGAAUUCCUAGUGUAGCGGUGAAAUGCGUAGAUAUUAGGAGGAACACCAGUGGCGAAGGCGGCUUACUGGACUGUAAAUGACGCUGAGGCUCGAAAGCGUGGGGAGCAGACAGGAUUAGAUACCCGCGUA
rnacentral:rRNA from 1 species